rnacentral:lncRNA from 1 species
AUCUUGUGACGGCGAAUGUGGGGGCGGCUCCCAACAGUCACCCAUCCAUUAGUGGCUCAUGUGUUCUUAAGACAAACUCAGCAGGCUGUACCUGUCCAGAGCUCCCUCACGAGAUUCUUGUGAAACAAAAGGAGCUCCUCUCUAGAAGAUCUUGAAAAGUCAAGUGUGGGGAGGCAACCGCAGAGCCCUACUUCCUGGAUGGGAAGACGGAUGCUGAGGAAGGUGCCGCCUUGUAACCAGAUGUUAUCCAUCCACACUGGACGGGAGGAAAUGAGCCUCAGGGGCCCUGGGAAUUCUGGCCAGAUUUAUAAGAACAUCUUCAAAUGUAGAAGCUUCAGAGUCCUUGGGAGUGUCCGCAGGAAUUGGUGAGCUCGGAAGGACCUCUCUGGAGUCCACCAAUAUCAAGUCGAUUGCCAAGCAUCCUGAUACUUACCUGUUUACUCAGCUGUCAGCUAUGUGCCAAGCGCAGAUACCCUUAAGUUGUAUGUGGCGGUUGUCAAUGUCUUCCCAAAGAAGAGACACACACCUGCUUGUUCACAGAGCUCUGCAAUCAGAUGAUGGGCGUGGACCAAAAGGAGUCUGCAGAACCAUCGAUAGCCUUCUGGGAGUCUUAUCAGGCUAGAUCUUAAGCACAGGGGUUAAUGGAUGGAGAGCUGCUGGGACUGGGGGAUACGGAGUAAGAAAUGCUCAGUUGUGAGCACAGGACCUCUCCAGGGACAGACGCCCCAGUGUCUCACCUCUUGAAAUCAGCCACCAAUAUUCCAUUUUGCAAUAGAUCAUUAAAAGUUUUCGUUUCUCAGCUUCUCCUGAAAA